rnacentral:lncRNA from 1 species
CUCAUCCACAGUAAAAAUAAAUUAAAACUACUUUUCAAGUAUACCUUGUAAAUGAGAACAAUUUCUAGCAAUAACAAGAAACAGGUUCAUACCAAUAUGAAUGAUGUACGUAGUCCUGAGAAACUCGUAUCAGUCCAAGAAUCGAAAUAUCCACCUACUUUUAGCAAGAGGCAUUUCACAUUUGUCUACAGAGUCGCCCGAGCUGCCAAAACAAGAGUCAACCAUCCAGCUAAUAAUAUCAGCACUCUUCCAUUAUUCACAUUCUUCAAUUGAAUACAUGUACCGUAUUUUCACCCAACUGUUGACUUAAAUGCCUGCACCAAUAUUCUCACGCCUAGUGCCUGUGAGGCGAUAUCACGAGCUUCCUCCCAAAACUCUCCUCAAUUCAUGUUUCUGCACUUCGGUGAGUUUUUUUGGGUACCUCACAUCAAUUUGGAUUCUUAGAUUUCCCUUCUUCCUAGGAUCCUUCGAAAUUGGCAUUCCUUCAUUAGGAACAACUAGCUCGUGUCCUGGUCUGACGAUCUCUGUUAUAGGGAUUGUGAUACUCCUGUCAUCUAGUGUUGUCAGCUCAAUAGUCUUCCCCGUGAGGGAUUCAAGAAGUGUUAUCUCGUGCUUCACAAUCAAAUCGUUACCGUCCCUUGUAUAAAUAGGAUGAGGUUUUUCAUCUAUCACAAAAAUAAGAUCUGCUGGGAUGAUGCCAGGCUCUUCAUUGCCCUUCUCGGGGAAAGUUAUUUUUGUGCCCUUCUUCCAGCCUUGUUUUAUAUCAAUAGAUAAGAUCUCCUCGAACACUUGAGGUUUACUGCAAGAUAAAGUUCAUACCAAGCCAAAGUCGAAGUACAUCAAACAUUCACUCAAAA